ACUUACUAGCCUCUUUGUCCCUCUCAUUGUCCUUCUCUUUCUCUUUCUCUUUCUCCUUAAUCAUCUUAUGAUAGCACAGUGACAAGGUUUCACUGGGGCAUUUUGUCGAACAGGUAAAGGGCACUGUGUUGUUCCUCUCUCUGUGAUGCCAGCCACCGAGCAAAACCCAGCUGCAGCCUUCCACUCCACUGUGAAUGGUGCCUAGACUGUGUGGUGGUCUCUCUCUGUGAUUUGGAUUCAGAUAUGAUGAUAUCAACACAGAAAAGUUGCGAAUGGCAGCUAGAGAGAGCGGUGUUGAGACAGACGGGUCUCAACACUAUGACGCACUCCAGAUCUUAGAUUGUUACGCAACAGAGAGUGAGGAAGACGAGAUUACGUAUUGCAGUUUCAUGGCCGACCGGCGAAAGAGAAAUCGCAGAUGAUCUGUGCCUUCCUCGUCUAUAUCAACACAAGCUUUAUGAAAUAUGUUUGACACGAACAUUUCCUCUCUCGGAUCAACGUUCAACUAUGUCCUAUUUUCUCGGCAACCAAACACAGUUGUAAGUAAACAAACACUCUGCAAAUCAAACUCAACUAGCUUUAUCUCCUUGAAUUCCAUUUCAUUAUCAAAUCCAAUAAGCAAAAGACGUCGCUGAUCCCAAGCAUCUUCUUCGGCAACCGACGAGGCACCCAUCUUCGAUCCCUUCUCUCUAGACUUCCCUUGCCUUCAACCUUCGCGGGAAAAUUCGGCAUUCGCGAGCACUCGCGUGGACUGAAAGGAAGCUCAUAUGUUCAAGGCCGAUCUUCCUGGUCUGAAGGAGGAAGUGACGGUCGAGAUCGAGGAGGGCGGUAGGGUUUUGCAGAUCAGCGUUGAGAGGAAUUUCGAGGAGGAGAAGAACGAUACUUGGCACCAUGUCGAGCACAGCUCCGGCGGGUUCACGAGGCGGUUCCGGCUGCCGGAAAAUGCGAAAAUGGAUGAGGUCAUGGCUUCAAUGGAGAACGGAGUACUUACCGUUACAGUUCCCAAGGUUGAGUGACAACAAACUUGUUGGAUAUUAUACUGCCAAUAUCCAUAUCUACUGUUGAUGAUGCAACAGGCAUGAACCACCCUCAGUUUUGAAUGUUCAGGGAGCGGAAUUGAUGAGGCAUAAGCUCAUGAGCUUCAAACUCUUGGAAAAAGUUGUAAACAUGCAGCGCUUAACACUUCCUCUAACCGGAGGGACUACAACUUUGUUCUUGCCUGUUGUUAAAUUUGCUAUCUUUGACAGCUUCUCUGCCUCAAUUUUGUUCCCCAUGUACAUGUAUAUGUAUAUAGUUGCACUUUUUA